UUAAAUUGAAGAGUUUGAUCAUGGCUCAGAUUGAACGCUGGCGGCAGGCCUAACACAUGCAAGUCGAACGGUAACAGGAAGCAGCUUGCUGCUUCGCUGACGAGUGGCGGACGGGUGAGUAAUGUCUGGGAAACUGCCUGAUGGAGGGGGAUAACUACUGGAAACGGUAGCUAAUACCGCAUAACGUCGCAAGACCAAAGAGGGGGACCUUCGGGCCUCUUGCCAUCGGAUGUGCCCAGAUGGGAUUAGCUAGUAGGUGGGGUAACGGCUCACCUAGGCGACGAUCCCUAGCUGGUCUGAGAGGAUGACCAGCCACACUGGAACUGAGACACGGU
rnacentral:rRNA from 1 species